rnacentral:rRNA from 1 species
UACGAAGGGGGCUAGCGUUGUUCGGAAUUACUGGGCGUAAAGCGCGUGUAGGCGGGUCUUUAAGUCAGGGGUGAAAUGCCAAGGCUCAACCUUGGAACUGCCUUUGAUACUGGAGAUCUUGAGUCCGGGAGAGGUGAGUGGAACUGCGAGUGUAGAGGUGAAAUUCGUAGAUAUUCGCAAGAACACCAGUGGCGAAGGCGACAUCCUGGACCGGUAUUGACGCUGAGGCGCGAAAGCCAGGGGAGCAAACGGG